GUCCACGCUGUAAACGAUGCUAACUCGUUUUGGGCUUUAGGGUUCAGAGACCAAGCGAAAGUGAUAAGUUAGCCACCUGGGGAGUACGCUCGCAAGAGUGAAACUCAAAGGAAUUGACGGGGCCCGCACAAGCGGUGGAUUAUGUGGUUUAAUUCGAUGAUACGCGAGGAACCUUACCAAGACUUAAAUGGGAAUUGACAGCUUUAGAAAUAGAGCUUUCUUCGGACAAAUUUUCAAAGGUGCUGCAUGGUUGUCGU
rnacentral:rRNA from 1 species